GUUUGUGCCUUGCAAGGCUUGUCAAACUCUCUCAGCUACAGCCAAAACUUAAGUAUUUUCCCAGCAGCGAAAGGCAGCUGCUCAUUUGAGGAAGCGGAGUGGGCACACGCCCCCACACUGAAGGCCGCACCUUACCAGACCCGCCCUCUGGGUGCUGGGAUGGCUGUAAAGGAGGAGGACCCAGCCAAGCAGCCAGACUCAUCCCAGCUCCGGGAAGGCUGAGUACACUGAAGGAUUCUGCAGGAAAUGACAAGAAGCUGAAGAACUGUUCCGUUGAGGGUAACAGAAAUGUUUGCCGAUGUGGCAUCAGAAACCUUGAGCCAGCCAGAGUUCCUGCGCUGUUUGAACCACGGGGAAGCGAAGGUGCCCUGCGGCGGUUAGGAAGAAGAUGGGAGCUCGCAGCGGCCGCACAGGGAAACGCCGCUGCGGAUAAAUACCAGCUCCACACCUGUUAACGCCCGAGAAUGAGCUCGCAGCAGC
rnacentral:lncRNA from 1 species